rnacentral:rRNA from 1 species
CCCUUAGAUGUUCUGGGCUGCACGCGCGCUACACUGAUGCGAUCAACAAGUUUUCCCUAUGUCGAUAGACACGGGUAAUCUUUUGAACUCGCAUCGUGAUGGGGAUAGAUUAUUGUAAUUAUUAAUCUUCAACGAGGAAUUCCUAGUAGGUGCAAAUCAUCAGUUUGCAUCGAUUACGUCCCUGCCCUUUGUACACACCGCCCGUCGCUGCUACCGAUUGGUUGAUCUGGUGAAUUAUUCGGACUGCCGGCUGAAGGGGUUUCCUCAUCUGCCAGCGGAAAGUCUUGUUAACCCUAUCAACUAGAGGAAGCAGAAGUCGUAACA